UGGGCUACACACGUGCUACAAGUGGGGCGGUAACGAAAGGGUCGCGAACCCGCGAGGGGGAGCCAAUCCCAAAAAGCCGCUCUCAGUUCGGAUUGCAGGCUGCAACUCGCCUGCAUGAAGUUGGAAUCGCUAGUAAUCGCGGAUCAGCAUGCCGCGGUGAAUACGUUCCCGGGCCUU
rnacentral:rRNA from 1 species